UGGUGGAGUGAUUUGUCUGGUUAAUUCCGAUAACGAACGAGACUCUAGCCUGCUAAAUAGUACACUCAUACCCUGGGCUUUUUUCUACGGGUUGUGAGUGAUUUACUUCUUAGAGGGAUUGGUGGGCAUUUAGUUCACAUGAAACUGAGCAAUAACA
rnacentral:rRNA from 1 species